rnacentral:rRNA from 1 species
AGAGUUUGAUCAUGGCUCAGAACGAACGCUGGCGGCAGGCUUAACACAUGCAAGUCGAGCGCCUCGCAAGAGGAGCGGCAGACGGGUGAGUAACGCGUGGGAAUCUACCCAUCUCUACGGAACAACUCCGGGAAACUGGAGCUAAUACCGUAUACGUCCUUCGGGAGAAAGAUUUAUCGGAGAUGGAUGAGCCCGCGUUGGAUUAGCUAGUUGGUGGGGUAAUGGCCUACCAAGGCGACGAUCCAUAGCUGGUCUGAGAGGAUGAUCAGCCACACUGGGACUGAGACACGGCCCAGACUCCUACGGGAGGCAGCAGUGGGGAAUAUUGGACAAUGGGCGAAAGCCUGAUCCAGCCAUGCCGCGUGAGUGAUGAAGGCCCUAGGGUUGUAAAGCUCUUUCAACGGUGAAGAUAAUGACGGUAACCGUAGAAGAAGCCCCGGCUAACUUCGUGCCAGCAGCCGCGGUAAU